UGUUGUCCCUUGAGGCAACCCAAGAGGGGGGUGAAUUGGGUUUAUAAAAAAUUUAAUGGCAAAGACAAGAAAUUAGAAGAGAAUGAGGAAGAGAAAAAUCAACACAAAGAUUUAUAGAGGUUCAGCUAUCCAAGCCUACGUCCUCUCCUCAAGGUCCACUUGAGAGUUCAACUCCACUAUCAAAUCUUCUUUGGGUGAAGAUCAAAACC
rnacentral:lncRNA from 1 species